UGCAUUUCUCCAUCUCUCACUCUCACAUGCUCUCUGCUCUGCUAGGGCUGAACGGUUGCCCUUCGAUGGUCGCCGGCGUGCAGACACCCAAUCAGGAGUACCAGACGCCGCUGAAACUCCAGCCUCGCGAGCCCUUCAUUGCCGUUCUCCGCCGCGAGUAGAAGCCUCCAACUGGUGGAGCGGUGGCCUCGCAGGGGUCGCGACGGUGGGGGCAUUGAACAAUCAGAGGUAUGCCAUCGCAGCUGGUGGAGAGAUGGCCUCGCAGGGGUCGCGACGGUGGUCUCUGCUCUAAGUUUGAUGGAGAUGGGUAUAUAUAUUGACUUCAUUAUUCUAAAAACUUAUUUAAUGAGUAUAUAUAUUGACAUCUUCAACAAGAAGAAUACUUUGGAGCUCCCAAAUUCAUGAAGAUUGGAGACCUGAAAGGGCGUUUUGGAUUACUCGCGGUGAUCAUGCAAAUUCUGAGAGCAAAGCUCAAAGUAUUAGAUCUUUGGUAUGGAAAUGGAACAGGUAUAAUUAAGCACAACCAACUACACAUCUGGUACUGAAAUAUCUGUCUUCAUGUGAAUGUAAUUUUAGAAAUUAGUCAAUCCUAAAUGUAGAAUAUAAAUAAGGAUUGGUAAAAUAAAGUGAAGCCUAAGAAUGCAAACUUCACGCCAUUGAAGUUUGGUACACUCAAUCUCUAUUAACAAUUUUAUUAUUUUUAAGUGAGUUAUGUGGGCAAGGAUAGGAAUGUCCUAUGGAGGCUUUAUGAGUGAUC